GGGGAGGUUUUCGGAUUUAUUGGGCGUAAAGCGCACGCAGGUGGUCUGGUCAGUUCAUGGUGACAGUCACCGGCUCCACUGGUGAAGUACCGGGAACACUGCCAGACUUGAGAGCGAGAGAGGGACAUGGAAUUCCGGGUGGAGUGGUGAAAUGCGUAGAUAUCCGGAAGAACACCGAAGGCGAAGGCAGUGUCCUGGCUCGUAUCUGACGCUCAGGUGCGAAAGCUAGGGGAGCGAACGGGAUUAGAUACCCCGGUAGUCCUAGCCGUAAACGAUGACCACUAGACGUACGGAGGAUCGACCCUCUGUGUGUCGUAGCUAACGCAUGAAGUGGUCCGCCUGGGGAGUACGGUCGCAAGAUUAAAACUCAAAGGAAUUGACGGGGACCCGCACAAGCAGCGGAGCGUGUGGUUUAAUUCGAUGCAACGCGAAGAACCUUACCAGGGUUUGACAUGUCUGUGCACCACCGAGAGAUCGGUGUGCCCGCAAGGGACGCAGACACAGGUGCUGCAUGGCUGUCGUCAGCUCGUGUCGUGAGAUGUUCGGUUAAGUCCGCUAACGAGCGCAACCCUCGCUGUAUGUUACAUGUGUCAUACGGGACCGCCGGUAUUAAGCCGGAGGAAGGUGGGGAUGACGUCAAGUCAGCAUGGCCUUUAUGUCCAGGGCUACACACACGCUACAAUGGGCAGUACAAUGGGUCGCUAAGCCGCGAGGUAGAGCCAAUCCCCAAAGCUGUCCUCAGUUCAGAUCGCAGGCUGCAACCCGCCUGCGUGAAGUCGGAGUUGCUAGUAAAUGCGCGUCAGCUAUAGCGCAUUGAAUACGUUCUCGGGCCUUGUACACACCGCCCGUCACGUCAUGGGAGCUGGUAACACCUGAAGCCGGUAGUCUAACCGCAAGGAGGACGCCGUCGAAAGUGGUGCUGGUGACUGGGACGAAGUCGUAACAAGGUAACC
rnacentral:rRNA from 1 species